GCCUAUGGGUUGUAAACCUCUUUUUUCAGGGAGGAAUCAAUGACGUGUACCUGAAGAAUAAGCAUCGGCUAACUCCGUGCCAGCAGCCGCGGUAAGACGGAGGAUGCAAGUGUUAUCCGGAAUCACUGGGCGUAAAGCGUCUGUAGGUGGUUGAACAAGUCAACUGUUAAAUCUUGAGGCUCAACUUCAAAAUCGCAGUCGAAACUGUUUGACUAGAGUAUAGUAGGGGUAAAGGGAAUUUCCAGUGGAGCGGUGAAAUGCGUAGAUAUUGGAAAGAACACCGAUGGCGAAGGCACUUUACUGGGCUAUUACUGACACUCAGAGACGAAAGCUAGGGUAGCAAAUGGGAUUAGAUACCCCAGUAGUCCUAGCCGUAAACAAUGGAUACUAGAUGUUGAACAGAUCGACCUGUGCAGUAUCAAAGCUAACGCGUUAAGUAUCC
rnacentral:rRNA from 1 species